AUGCGUAAUCAGGUCGGCAUCAACCUGGACGGCUUCGACCUGGACGGCUUCCCCCUCGACCACGAGUUCCCGAACAACUACGAGCUAGAGGAAGAGGACGAGUGCGACAUCGACGUGGAGCCUUUGUUCGAGGACGAGCUCACCAACCAAGCCGCCGGUCCUAAGACGAAGCGCAAGAGCAAGCGUACAAAGGCGUACACAGCGGCCAAGGACAAGCUUCUUUGCGAGUGUUCGCGAGAGAUUGGACAAGACCCCAAGACGGGCACCGAGCAAAAGCAUUCAACCUUUUGGAUUCGUGUCCACCGAGAGUUUCAUGAGCGCAAGAAGUUUCCGCCGUACCAAUUUGUGAGCACGCGCGGGUGGGUCUCAAUUUCCAAACGGUGGAGGGUGAUCCAACAAGAGUGCAACAAGUUUUGUGCCGCUCUUGAGAGCGUCAAAGCCCGCCUCGUGAGUUGCAUCAGCAUGCAAGACAUGGUAUUGCUAGCAAGCCGCCCUCUUUUGUGUCAUCAAGUUCAUCCUUUGCGUGUUCAUUUGCAUAUCACUUGCCCAUAUGCUUGCAUAGAAACAUUUUGUAGGCAUUUCAAGCUUUGGAGGCAUUCAAGGUGCAACACAAUGACAAGUGCUUCAACCUCUCCCAUUGCUAUCGGGUCAUCAAGGACGAGGAGACGUUCAAGGCGCAAUAUGCCGCACUCAAGUCGCGUGGGGGAAGAAAGCCAUGGAGGAUGUUGGGGAGGGCGAGACGGCACGGCCGCGGGAGAAGACCAACUCCAAAAAAGAGGACAAGCGAGAUGCGGCCACCAACGCUUUGAUCGCAAGCGUGGACGGCAUGAUGAACAAGAAGGACUCAAGGGAGGAGGAGCGCCGGCGUUUUAA
rnacentral:rRNA from 1 species